UUGUUGCCGCUUCCUUAGCAACCUGUGCGCCCUUCAAGUUGGGAUCUCCCUGGAGCGAGGUAAUGGAAGCGUGUUGUGCCGAAGCAGCUGUACUAAAUACAUCAACAAUUUGUACCGGCGCCACAUGUCACCAUAUAUGUGAGCUUACCGGCGAUUCUUAUAAUUGUAAAUGUCACAACGGUUUUACACUCACAUCUGAUGGCCACUCCUGUAUCGUGGCCAAUGUAUCACAACCAAUAUGCGAAAAUGGGUACGCUUGGAAUACUACUAUAAACCAGUGCGCAGAUAUCGAUGAAUGUAUUGACAAUGCUCGCUGUAGCCAUACCACGUGCCUGAACACAUUAGGAGGAUUCACAUGCGAACCAGAAGUUACAUCAUGUGAAAUUGGUUUCAAACGCCAUGCGGGUAAGUGCAUCGAUAUUAAUGAAUGUGAAACGGAUCGUGACGCAUGUGACACAAAUCAAAUUUGCACGAACGAGCCUGGCGGUUUCCGGUGCGACUGUCGCACUGGUUUCUCGAUGGAUCCCGUGACGAACGCUUGUAUAGACAUUAAUGAAUGCCAAAUCAACAUCCAUGACUGCCACGAAACACAGCGAUGUGACAACACCAUUGGAUCAUAUUCUUGCAUUCGUCUGCAGAGCUGUGGUACUGGAUAUACAUUGAACGCAGGUACAGGUCUCUGCGAUGACGAUGACGAAUGUAAGCUAGGAACGCAUAACUGUGAAAUCCAAUACGAAUGUAAGAACACAAAAGGAUCUUUCAGGUGCGAACGGCUUCGUGUGGUAAUACCUCAUCUUUUGAAUGGUGCCAUUUGCGAAGUUGGCUAUCGAUCUGAUGAUCACGGUCGAUGUUUAGAUGUGAACGAGUGUGAGGAAGGCACAGCCGCUUGCGCAACAGGUCAAUUUUGUCGAAAUAAGCCAGGAGGUUACGUAUGUUACUGUCCACCGGGUUACGUAUUGGGGAACAAACGAUAUUGUGAGGACAUUGAUGAAUGCUCAACGAACUCCGCUUGUCCAGCGCACACUCUCUGUGUUAACACUCCUGGUAGCUUUCGUUGUGAAUGCGGAAAUGGCUUUUCUAACAAUCUUACAGCUGGUCGUACAUUUUGCAUGGAUGUUGAUGAAUGUGCAAAACCUGGAAUUUGCAAUCAACAUUGUGUGAACUACUGGGGUUCAUAUAGAUGUACAUGUGAGGCUGGAUGGCGCCUAUCUGCAGACAACCACACAUGUGAUGACUUGAAUGAGUGCGAAACUCGCCGUUCGUAUGAGUUAUGUGUCGGUGGCUGCGUCAACACACGUGGCUCUUAUAUAUGUACUUGUCCUACCGGUUAUCGUCUAGGCACUGAUGGUCGCAGUUGCUUGGAUGUGGAUGAAUGUGCGGCCAACGUUUGUCAAAGUAAUGAAAUUUGCACCAAUACACGUGGCAGCCAUCGUUGCUACCCCGUAACUUGUCCUAGUGGAUACGCGAUAGACACCGAGCGACGAAAUAGAUGCCGUCGUAUUUCAUUGCUUUGUGAUCGCGAUGACCUUGACUGUUUUGCACGUCCAAGUUCUUAUUCCUUUAAUUUCAUCACACUUGUAGCCAAUAUGUCUGUUCCACCGUUGGGACGUGCGCUUUUCAAUCUUAAGGGCCCAAAUUGGUAUGAUAACAUAGACUUUUUCUUGCGUGUGGUAAAUGUGGAGGCACCUCCGGAUAUUUUUCUAGCCAGCGACACAUCCUUUACACUUCGAAAAAUGCACAAUGAAGCUUUACUAAGUUUGGUAGAGGCUCUUCAAGGACCACAAGAUGUGGAGUUGGAGCUUAGCAUGACAGUGUACAAGGAUCACUUACCAGCCGGAAGUAAUAUUGCCAAAAUCUUCAUUUUCGUCAGCGAGCAUACAUUCUGAGUGAUGCCAAAUAUAAACAAAAUGUAAAGAUGAUGCUGAAUUUGUGAGACUGACAUCGAGGUAGUUAAGUAGCUUCGGAUUGCACAGACUAGAGACGCUCUGUCGCGACUGAUACUUAGCCCUUUGAAAGAAGGUUCGCGGAAUAUACGGAUACCUAUAAAUCUCAGGGGGAAGAGAAAUCUGCUUGUCGUUAAGUUCCGCAGUGGCAAAGUAAAGAGAAACAUCAUCAAUGCCAGGAGAAAGUCCCACCGAGACAGUAACUUCAGGGGUGUUUUCCUAAGUGACCAGAAUGUUCAUCAAUGAGCGAUUGACGCCGUAGAGACGGGAACUAUUGAAGAUCGCAAAAAAGUGGAAGACGAAGCUCAACUUCAAGUUCCUAUGGAUUGACAAUGGUGCGAUUAGGAUGAGAGGGUGCGAGGGGAAAGAUUCUACGUUAUCAACUCUAUCUCUGACUUCGAUAACUGGCCGGCCAGGCAACAUAAAUGCCUCAAUCCUCUCCAUGGACGUAUUCUGACGCGGACUUUACGAUAAUCCUACAAAAUAUCCGGAGCAUUAGGAGGAAUAUGAAUCUUCUGAUGACUACUAUUGAGUCUGGCAGGGCUGAAGGAGUUAAACGACAAAAUCUUAUUUUUCUCACGAAAACCUGGGUCUCACAAAACAAAUCCCCUCACUAUGCAAUUGCUGACUACACGCUCCGUGCAGUAUGUCAUGAUUUUUACAGGGCGGGUGGGGUUUGUGCUUAUGUGAACGUUAAAUUGAGUAGAGUUUCAUCUCAAAAAAUUGAUUUAAGUACCGCGGACUGUAUCAAGAUAGUCGUCACGCGAGACAGCACAGAUAUAUUUCUCUACUGUUUCUACAGAUUCCGUCUUAAGCCUGUAUCAGAGUUUUUGUACGAACUGGAUUUGAUUUGGGAAGCAUUGACGAUAAAGAAUAAUGUAUAUCUUCUAGGCGAUUGCAACAUUGAUGUUCUGUUCGACUCGAGAGACGCCAUUGAAUACUUCCUACUGCUCUCCUUCCAUGGUUUCGACCUGCUUGACAGCAUGUCCACUAGGUAACGAAGAAUUCUGUACAGAUCAUAUUGUGGCGAAACACCUGUGCGAUGAUUUUUUUUUUGGCGUCCUAGCGGGACAUUUACAUGAAGGAAUAUCGAGUUCAUGUGGACACGAUAAUAAAAUUUUAGAGCAUGGCACUAGCUUACAGAGAAGCUGUUUGACCGACGCUGAUUGCAAUACGAGUGUGAUAGGCGCAAAACAGAACUUAAACUAAAUUGAGUAAAUGGGUGCAUUGGCGAACACAGAGAUGCAUACGGCAGGUAGUCACAAUGGAUCAUUUAUGAAUUGGAGCGAGAAAAAAGGGGUGAAUUGGCGCGACGGUAAUGCAAUAGAUUUAAAGUACUAAUUGUAAGGAGGCAUCAGAAGGCUGCCUACCGUACCAGAAUUAGCCUCACCCAACCAACUCCAAACCAAACGGGCAGACAAAGAAUCAAACAACCUUAACGGAUUAUUUACAAUUA